GUAUUGGAGUCACCUUGCAUAGGAGUAAUCCCCUAUCUAGCAAUUACAGCUACCAAGAAAAUAAAAUGUAAAGCGAAUAGAGGGUGAAUUCUAUUAAGGGUUUUAUGAAGAUGGGUUCCGUUGGUAAAAUUUGUUUAGUUUAUUUGGUGGGAUCUGCCUGUCAAAAUAUCAUUAAAAAAAAUUAUUUAAAAAAAAAAUAAAGAAUAUAGAAA
rnacentral:misc_RNA from 1 species